rnacentral:rRNA from 1 species
CAGUCGCCACGGUAAUACGAAGGGUGCAAGCGUUACUCGGAGUUACUGGGCGUAAAGCGUGCGUAGGUGGUGGUUUAAGUCCGUUGUGAAAGCCCUGGGCUCAACCUGGGAAUUGCAGUGGAUACUGGGUCACUAGAGUGUGGUAGAGGAUAGUGGAAUUACCGGUGUAGCAGUGAAAUGCGUAGAGAUCGGAAGGAACAUCUGUGGCGAAGGCGACUAUCUGGGCCAACACUGACACUGAGGCACGAAAGCGUGGGGAGCAAACAGGAUUAGAUACCCCAGUAGUCCCUGUCUCUUAUAC